rnacentral:rRNA from 1 species
UACAGAGGGUGCAAGCGUUAAUCGGAAUUACUGGGCGUAAAGCGUGCGCAGGCGGUUUUGUAAGCCAGAUGUGAAAUCCCCGGGCUUAACCUGGGAAUGGCAUUUGGGACUGCAAGGCUGGAGGUUGGCAGAGGAGACUGGAAUUCCUGGUGUAGCAGUGAAAUGCGUAGAUAUCCGGAGGAACACCGGUGGCGAAGGCGGCAGCCUGGACCGGCAUUGACGCUGAUGAGCGAAAGCUAGGGGAGCAAACGGG